GACGGAGGGCGCGGGCGUAUUCGUUUUGAUUGGGUGUAAAGGGGUACGUAGGUGGCUUUCAGUGUUUUGGCAAAAAUUGCGGCGAAUUACGACGCACUUGCCUUUUAUGACGAAGCUUGUGUUGCGGAGAGGUAGGGGCAAGUUCUCAAGUAGGGGUAAAAUCCCGCCAUAUGAGAACGAACGUCAGCUGGCGAAGGCGCCUUUCCAGUCGCAACAGACGCUCAGGUACGGAAGCUUAGGGAGCAAACGGG
rnacentral:rRNA from 1 species